rnacentral:rRNA from 1 species
GAUGAACGCUGGCGGCGUGCCUAAUACAUGCAAGUCGAGCGAACGGACGAGAAGCUUUCCUCUCUGAUGUUAGCGGCGGACGGGUGAGUAACACGUGGAUAACCUACCUAUAAGACUGGGAUAACUUCGGGAAACCGGAGCUAAUACCGGAUAAUAUUUUGAACCGCAUGGUUCAAAAGUGAAAGACGGUCUUGCUGUCACUUAUAGAUGGAUCCGCGCUGCAUUAGCUAGUUGGUAAGGUAACGGCUUACCAAGGCAACGAUGCAUAGCCGACCUGAGAGGGUGAUCGGCCACACUGGAACUGAGACACGGUCCAGACUCCUACGGGAGGCAGCAGUAGGGAAUCUUCCGCAAUGGGCGAAAGCCUGACGGAGCAACGCCGCGUGAGUGAUGAAGGUCUUCGGAUCGUAAAACUCUGUUAUUAGGGAAGAACAUAUGUGUAAGUAACUGUGCACAUCUUGACGGUACCUAAUCAGAAAGCCACGGCUAACUACGUG